rnacentral:rRNA from 1 species
GACGUAGGGCGCGAGCGUUGUCCGGAUUUAUUGGGCGUAAAGAGCUCGUAGGCGGCUUGUCGCGUCGACCGUGAAAACUUGGGGCUCAACCCCAAGCCUGCGGUCGAUACGGGCAGGCUCGAGUUCGGCAGGGGAGAACGGAAUUCCUGGUGUAGCGGUGAAAUGCGCAGAUAUCAGGAGGAACACCCGUGGCGAAAGCGGCUCUCUGGGACGGUACUGACGCUGAGACGCGAAAGCGUGGGGAGCAAACAGG